GUAGUAUUCCCUCCGUCCCAAAAUUCUUGUCUUACAUUUGUUUAGAUACGGAUGUAUCUAACACUAAAAUGUAACUAGAUACAUCCGUAUUUAGACAAAUUUAAGACAAGAAUGUUGGGACGGAGGGAGUACAAA
rnacentral:pre_miRNA from 1 species